AAAAUGUCAGAUUGCGGUUGAUGAAAAAUGGUCAAUAAAGCACUACUAGAGUCUUGUGCUACUCUGAUGCUAUGUACAGUAAAGGUUCAAGUUUGAAAAAUACGCGUAUCUGGAAUUCGAAACUCUUCGUCUAUACUUCGAGACCGGCCGCGCUGUAAACGGGUGAUGUGAUUCCCAAAACUUUGAUCACCAACAAAAAUCCUCCGUCAAAAAAGAAGCACGUACAUAUUUACCGAUCAAUUCGAACUCUAACAAGUUUUUUUCAGAAGCCCGUUCGAUAGUGAAGAAAACAAAAGCGACAGUACUCGAUGUUGAUAUUAUCAUGAUUUGUCACUCAGGUGAUUCGCUUUCGUCACUAGAUUUGGAUACUUUUUCGACGGUUCAACGCAACAUAGGUGUUCGCACAUGCUUAACGGGGGCACGUCCGGCCAAGAAAUUAUUAUGUCUAGCGUAUCAAAUGCUUUGCAGGACGCAAAAGAUAUUGUAUUCGGUAAUGUCUACCAAUCUUGUUGGGAAAGGUUACGCCGGGAUUACGUGAAUCGACCCGGAAACAUCUCAGGGCAGAUCAGAUUAUCACGUCCAGGAUCGAAGAAUCAAGCCGAGGUGAGCACAUUAAUAAUCCCGGCUGCCGAUGAGCGGUUACUGUUGGAGGAAUGUCAAACCUACUUCGAAGCGAUUUCGCGCAACUCAC